AAGGGCGGGGCACUUCCCACUGUCCCAGGAGGCUCCAGCCUGGCCUUGGGACAGGCAGCACCUCCAGAAUUGGAUCUUUGCGGGAUCUCUGGGCUUGGGAUCUUUUCUCCAGCACCAAAUUUCUCUUCCCAAAUCCUCUUCCCGCAGCGCGUCCCUAAGGGAACGAAAGCCAAGCCAGCAGACGGGGGAUCCCCCAAAACCAUUUAUUCCCUGGUCAAGCGUCCGGAGCAGGCGGAUGAUGGGACGGCAGAAAAUGCCACCAUGACCGGCCUGGAACUGGUCUAGAAGGACCUGGGACUGGUCCAGAAGGACCUGGGACUGGUCCAGAAGGACCUCAAACUGGACUAGAUGGACCCAGGACUGGCUUAAAGAACACGAAACUGUUUUAAAGGAUAUAAAACUGGUUUAAAGGAUAUAAAACCAGUUUAAAGGAUAUAAAACUGGUUUCAGAACACGAAACUGGCUUAAAAAAUCUGGAAGUGCUUUAAAAGUCUGCAGCUAUUUUAAUGAGUCUGGACCUGGUUCACAAGAAACCACAACUGGUUUAGAUGAAGCUGGAAGUGGUUGAAAAGAUCCAGAACUGGUUGAAAAGACCCGGAAUCGGUUGAAAAGACCCAGAACUGGUUGAAAAGGCCCAGAACUGGUUGAAAAGAUCCAGAACUGGUUGAAAAGACCCAGAACUGGUUGAAAAGACCCAGAACUGGUUGAAAAGACCCGGAACUGGUUGAAAAGAUCCAGAACUGGUUGAAAAGAUCCAGAACUUGUUGAAAAGACCCAGAACUGGUUGAAAAGACCCAGAACUGGUUGAAAAGACCCAGAACUGGUUCAAAAGACCCAGAACUGGUUGAAAAGACCCGGAACUGGUUGAAAAGACCCAGAACUGGUUGAAAAGACCCGGAACUGGUUGAAAAGACCCAGAACUGGUUGAAAAGACCCAGAACUGGUUGAA
rnacentral:lncRNA from 1 species